CUCCUACGGGGAGGCAGCAGUGGGGAAUAUUGCACAAUGGGCGAAAGCCUGAUGCAGCCAUGCCGCGUGUAUGAAGAAGGCCUUCGGGUUGUAAAGUACUUUCAGUUGUGAGGAAGGGUGUGUAGUUAAUAGCUGCGCAUCUUGACGUUAGCAACAGAAGAAGCACCGGCUAACUCCGUGCCAGCAGCCGCGGUAAUACGGAGGGUGCGAGCGUUAAUCGGAAUUACUGGGCGUAAAGCGCAUGCAGGUGGUUCAUUAAGUCAGAUGUGAAAGCCCGGGGCUCAACCUCGGAACUGCAUUUGAAACUGGUGAACUAGAGUACUGUAGAGGGGGGUAGAAUUUCAGGUGUAGCGGUGAAAUGCGUAGAGAUCUGAAGGAAUACCAGUGGCGAAGGCGGCCCCCUGGACAGAUACUGACACUCAGAUGCGAAAGCGUGGGGAGCAAACAGGAUUAGAUACCCUGGUAGUCCACGCCGUAAACGAUGUCUACUUGGAGGUUGUGGCCUUGAGCCGUGGCUGUCGGAGCU
rnacentral:rRNA from 1 species